rnacentral:pre_miRNA from 1 species
GGAGUCGUGUCUGGACAGCUCAUGGUAAAACCUAAGUUAUCCUCAAACGAUUAC